rnacentral:rRNA from 1 species
GUCGGGCGGUAACACAGAGGAGCUUGCUCCUUGGGUGACGAGCGGCGGACGGGUGAGUAAAGUCUGGGGAUCUGCCUGAUGGAGGGGGAUAACUACUGGAAACGGUAGCUAAUACCGCAUGACGUCUUCGGACCAAAGUGGGGGACCUUCGGGCCUCACGCCAUGAGAUGAACCCAGAUGGGAUUAGCUGGUAGGUGAGGUAACGGCUCACCUAGGCGACGAUCCCUAGCUGGUCUGAGAGGAUGACCAGCCACACUGGAACUGAGACACGGUCCAGACUCCUACGGGAGGCAGCAGUGGGGAAUAUUGCACAAUGGGGGAAACCCUGAUGCAGCCAUGCCGCGUGUGUGAAGAAGGCCUUCGGGUUGUAAAGCACUUUCAGCGGGGAGGAAGGCAAUAAACUUAAUAAGUUUGUUGAUUGACGUUACCCGCAGAAGAAGCACCGGCUAACUCCGUGCCAGCAGCCGCGGUAAUACGGAGGGUGCAAGCGUUAAUCGGAAUGACUGGCCGUAAAGCGCACGCAGGCGGUCUGUUAAGUUGGAUGUGAAAUCCCCGGGCUCAUCCCGGGAACAGCAUUCAAAACUGACAGGCUAGAGUCUCGUAGAGGGGGGUAGAAUUCCAGGUGUAGCGGUGAAAUGCGUAGAGAUCUGGAGGAAUACCGGUGGCGAAGGCGGCCCCCUGGACGAAGACUGACGCUCAGGUGCGAAAGCGUGGGGAGCAAACAGGAUUAGAUACCCUGGUAGUCCACGCCGUAAACGAUGUCGACUUGGAGGCUGUGGUCUUGAACCGUGGCUUCCGGAGCUAACGCGUUAAGUCGACCGCCUGGGGAGUACGGCCGCAAGGUUAAAACUCAAAUGAAUUGACGGGGGCCCGCACAAGCGGUGGAGCAUGUGGUUUAAUUCGAUGCAACGCGAAGAACCUUACCUACUCUUGACAUCCAGAGAAGACUGUAGAGAUACGGUUGUGCCUUCGGGAGCUCUGAGACAGGUGCUGCAUGGCUGUCGUCAGCUCGUGUUGUGAAAUGUUGGGUUAAGUCCCGCAACGAGCGCAACCCUUAUCCUUUGUUGCCAGCGAUACGGUCGGGAACUCAAAGGAGACUGCCGGUGAUAAACCGGAGGAAGGUGGGGAUGACGUCAAGUCAUCAUGGCCCUUACGAGUAGGGCUACACACGUGCUACAAUGGCGCAUACAAAGAGAAGCGAGCCUGCGAGGGUGAGCGGACCUCAUAAAGUGCGUCGUAGUCCGGAUUGGAGUCUGCAACUCGACUCCAUGAAGUCGGAAUCGCUAGUAAUCGUAGAUCAGAAUGCUACGGUGAAUACGUUCCCGGGCCUUGUACACACCGCCCGUCACACCAUGGGAGUGGGUUGCAAAAGAAGUAGGUAGC